rnacentral:rRNA from 1 species
GACGAACGCUGGCGGCGUGCUUAACACAUGCAAGUCGAACGCUGAAGCUUGGUGCUUGCACUGGGUGGAUGAGUGGCGAACGGGUGAGUAAUAAGUGAGUAACCUGCCCUUGACUCUGGGAUAAGCCUGGGAAACUGGGUCUAAUACUGGAUACGACAUGUCACCGCAUGGUGGUGUGUGGAAAGGGUUUUACUGGUUUUGGAUGGGCUCACGGCCUAUCAGCUUGUUGGUGGGGUAAUGGCUCACCAAGGCGACGACGGGUAGCCGGCCUGAGAGGGUGACCGGCCACACUGGGACUGAGACACGGCCCAGACUCCUACGGGAGGCAGCAGUGGGGAAUAUUGCACAAUGGGCGGAAGCCUGAUGCAGCGACGCCGCGUGAGGGAUGACGGCCUUCGGGUUGUAAACCUCUUUCAGCACGGAAGAAGCGAAAGUGGCGGUACGUGCAGAAGAAGCGCCGGCUAACUACGUG